ACUAUUCAAUAUUUUGAUCAUUUAUAUAUUUUCUCUUUUAAAUACUAUAGUGACAAAUAUCCUUGUAGUUACACUUUAGCGCGUAUCUGUAAUAUUUCCUUAGAACAAAUUCCUAGGAACAGUUUCCGGGUUAGAGGCAUAGAUUGCAUAUGACCUAUCCUCCAGCUUACCUCUUUACCCACUUUUGCCAAGCCCCCACUAAAGCAUAUCAACAAAUAGCUCAAUUACUCUUCUACCUGGGUAAGCCUUAUUUUAUCUAUUUUGCUUUUUCUGAAUCUAUUUCUAUGAGCCUUUAUGUGCAGAAAUGUAUCUAGCCACACACUGACUGCUAGAUAUUUGGCCUAGAUCAUCUGAUACUGGGAAACAAUCAGUUGUUAGCCUUAACUAGCCACAUUUACAGAGCAAUCACAUCAAAAAUAACUUAAUUGUCUCAGUUAUCUUUUACUUGGUGGUCACUGACCCACCUAUGUCUUUUCCAUCAUCAUUAGGAUCAUCACUAUAUUUUUACACUUGCUAAUAUUUGUAAGCAUUUGUUAAAUAUGUACUAUGUUCCAGGCACUGUGCCUGACACUUUUCUCAUAUUACCUCACUUAAUCUUUGAGAUGUAUGUAGUAGCCCUCAUUUUAUAGGUGGGGAAAAGUUAGUGUGGCAGAAUCUGAAUUUGAAUCCAGUUCUACACAACACCAACACUCUUUCUGUUAAGCUAUACUGCCUGUCGACUCUAGGAUAACCAGUAGGGCCUAUGAGUAUAUCCUUUGUAGCAGUGGUAAGAACUUAGUGGGGAACAAGACAUGGGAAUCAUGGAACAGAAUAACUCAUUCAAUCAGUCAAUAAAAAAAUUACUGAAUGCCAACUGUAUUUCCAGCAUUAUUUCAGGUGGUGGGAAAACAACAGUGAACAAUUGCUAAAUUUACGUUUCCACAUUUUGCUAUUCUUGUAUUUAAUUGGGAACAAAAACCAUUCUUUAGACUCAUGCAAGUAUAGCAUAUUUAAACAGUACCUUCAUUAAAUUAUUAAAGUUGUGUGCUAUUUUCCUAACUAGAGUAUAAUAAUUUGAUACUGUUUUAUAAAAUAUAUAAAACUUCAAUGCUUCCUUGCCAACUAACUUCAGUUUUAGAAAUAAGAUUUUUUUAUUUUAAAAAGUAAGAUGGUUCCUUCAAGACUCUCAAGAAUCUUCAAGUGCCUCUUUU
rnacentral:lncRNA from 1 species